AUGGGCGGGCAAGGUGGGAAUUGAACCCGCUCACUUCUGAUCAGGAGUCGACCGCCCUACCACUGUACCACGGCUGCCCCUUGUGAACUCUUCGCCCCACAGUUAAUGUCAUUACAUAGCGAAAUGAGACAUGUACAACUCCAUUUUAACCAAGGAUGAGUACUGAACCAAAAAUAUGCACCAACUUGGUAUGUAUUGGUAUCAUAUAAAAACUUGGAUUUGGGCGCUUCGUGGAAGAGCGAGUAAGGCCAUUCACGCACCCCGCACAGCGUCAGUCACGAUGCAGAAAGUUCUGCUGAACUUCACAGCAAGAGUUUCUGAUUCAGCAACCUAAUGGAUCAGAGCCAUGUGCAUAACAUUCUGAAAAAACUGCAGUUUUUGAGGUGAUUGGGGUGAAAUACGACUUCUGCAUGUGAGAAAACGGAUAAUCAGCACGGCAGAGUAGACUGUCUGGAGAAUGAAAUAAAGCAUCUUAGUUGUAUUUCUGCACUCCUUCAUCCUGUCACGCUGCUUCAUCACACUGAAAUGUUUCUGGAAAACACCUGUUCAAGCACCUGUACUGUUUUAAAGUACUGGUUCGGCUACAUAGCAGUGUUAGAAACGGAGCACUUUAUUUUUCUCAACCUCAUGAAACAUUAGUAGGUAAGACACAUUUAUUCCUUGUGAGUUUUUUUCCUAUACUGAAAAGGUUUUUGUUGUGAAAAUCAGACAAAGUUGAGAGCUGAAAAAAUAUUAUUUUACAUACUGAAAGAAAAGUGAAUUUCAUGAAUUAAAAAGCUACUUGUAUAUGAGAUACAGUUCUAGUGCUUAAUAUUCUGAUCAUUACCAAAAAAAAAAGAAAAAAUACAAUUUCAUUUAUGUGAAAGGUGCAAAAAUAUUCAAAUAACGUUUUUAUGAAGAUAUAAUUUAAAAAAUAAGUGAAAUAUUAUCUCUGGUACUAUAUUGUGAUACAUCAUGAUAUGUAUUGUAUCGCGAUACAUAUCAUGCUAGACUCUUUCCAAUACACACCCCUAAUGUAUCCUAUAGGAUACUAAGCACAGACAAGAUGUCCAGUUCAGAAAUAACAGUUCAUAGAUUUGACUGGAAGCCAGAUCCUACGAUGAUUGAUGUUGAGUUCAGUGACUGUUAUUUUUGUUACACUAUUCUCAAUUCAAUCAAUUAAAUCAACCCAUAGAGAUAGAGGAAUCUCCAUUACAAAAUGAUAUUCUAUUUCGAAUUAUGUACCUACAAUCAACCAAUCAAUCAAACUUUAUUCAUAAAAAUCUUCUUUCACUUUCAGCUUAUCCCUUUCGGGGUCACCACAGCGUAACAGCACCCACUGUUUGGCAUCAGUGAUUUGGCAGAGUUUUUACGCCGGAUGCCCUUCCUGACCAUAGACUUAAUAUAUAAUUAAACGCAUCAUCUCUGACGUCACCCAUUGACUUCCACAGUCCCCCAAAUGAAGCCUGAACAUUCAGCUCCUGGCCACAGCCAUAUUGGCUGGAGUUAACUCCGCCUCACACGGACGUUCCAAAUAUGGGAAAAAGGGGUGGGACCGAGUUCACCCGCUUUUCCUCCGGUUUGUUUUAGUUCACGCCCACAGCUCUGCCGUCUGCGGCUCCUCAAUGCUAAUGGCUAACAGCUUCAAUUCUCCAGGAAAGCAGCUUUGCGGUGGAUUAUUUACAUCAUGAAUCUUUACAGUUUGGAUUAAUGGUGACGUCAUUUCCAUUUGGCAUCAGAAGGACAGUUCAACAAAACCACCACAGCGACAUGAGCUCGGCGUGGACCCACAUCACCUGGUUGAGCUGAGGCGGAUGGUGGUGGACAUCUUUUAUUUUUAAUUCUACAAGGAAGAGCAGCUCCUGGUUCUCUCAUCACUGUGGAGGACGUGAACGGGCGACGUCUGGAGUCUGGAGCUGUCUUUGGGAUCGGAGAGAACGUCCAGCGGCUGCACACUCUUCAACCCAUCAAUAAACUUUAUUUCUCUUUCAUUUCUUACUAAAUUUUUUUUCAGUAGAUAGAAAUGUACUCUUUAGGAUGAUUUAUUAGGUUCUCUAAAUGUAUAAAAACAGACAGUAUUAUCAUAGAUGAUGCUUUCUAACCAUGACAUGUGUAAAGAGGCCCCUACUUUGAAUAAAGGAAAACUAAUUCUGAAUGUUCAAUGAUGAAUGUUUGUUAUGUUUUGAAUCAUUUCAUCUGCUUCAAAAAUAAAUUUUGUACGAUCUGACUUUGACCCGCAUUUCCUUUUGUUUUACCUAUAUGCUAAAACAGUGAAUAAACAGAAGAGACUGGUCACUCAAA